UGACAAUGAUGAGAUUCCACUUCAUGGUCCGUGUUUUUGACUGUGAAUGAUAUUGUUGGAAGUUCUGAUGUG